GACGUAGGGGGCGAGCGUUGUCCGGAUUCAUUGGGCGUAAAGCGCGCGCAGGCGGCCCGGUAAGUCGGAUGUGAAAUCCCACGGCUCAACCGUGGAACUGCAUUCGAUACUGUCGGGCUAGAGGCAGGUAGGGGAGAUCGGAAUUCCUGGUGUAGCGGUGAAAUGCGCAGAUAUCAGGAGGAACACCGGUGGCGAAGGCGGAUCUCUGGGCCUGUCCUGACGCUCAUGCACGAAAGCGUGGGGAGCAAACAGG
rnacentral:rRNA from 1 species